UGUUCGAUUGAAUGCAUCGGAUCGUUGC
rnacentral:sRNA from 1 species